CGACCGGCGCACGGGUGCGUAACGCGUAUGCAACCUACCCAUAACAGGGGGAUAACACUGAGAAAUUGGUACUAAUACCCCAUAACAUCAGGACCGGCAUCGGUUCUGGUUGAAAACUCCGGUGGUUAUGGAUGGGCAUGCGUUGUAUUAGCUGGUUGGUGAGGUAACGGCUCACCAAGGCAACGAUACAUAGGGGGACUGAGAGGUUAACCCCCCACAUUGGUACUGAGACACGGACCAG
rnacentral:rRNA from 1 species